GAUGAACGCUAGCUACAGGCUUAACACAUGCAAGUCGAGGGACCGGCGCACGGGUGAGUAACACGUAUCCAACCUUCCCUUUACUCGUGGAUCGCCUUUCGAGAGUAAGAUUCAUAACCUAUAUAAAGGUUGGGGAUGCGUUCCAUUAGGUUGUUGGUGAGGUAUCGGCCCACCAAGCCUUCGAUGGUUAGGGGUUCUGAGGGGAAGGUGCCCCACAUUGGAACGGAGACACGGUCCAAAAGACUACGGGAGGCAGCAGUGAGGAAUAUUGGUCAAUGGUGGCUAGCCUGAACCAGCCGAGUAGCGGGAAGGAUGAAGGAGUAUGGGUGGUAAACUUCUUUUAUAUAAGAAAAUGUAUUAGAUGAAUAAGGAUCGGCUAACUCCGUGCCAGCCGCCGCGGUAAUAC
rnacentral:rRNA from 1 species